rnacentral:rRNA from 1 species
GGUUAAGCGACUAAGCGUACACGGUGGAUGCCCUGGCAGUCAGAGGCGAUGAAGGACGUGCUAAUCUGCGAAAAGCGUCGGUAAGGUGAUAUGAACCGUUAUAACCGGCGAUGUCCGAAUGGGGAAACCCAGUGCAAUUCGUUGCACUAUCGUUAACUGAAUACAUAGGUUAACGAGGCGAACCGGGGGAACUGAAACAUCUAAGUACCCCGAGGAAAAGAAAUCAACCGAGAUUCCCCCAGUAGCGGCGAGCGAACGGGGAGCAGCCCAGAGUCUGAAUCAGCUUGUGUGUUAGUGGAACGGUCUGGAAAGUCCGACGGUACAGGGUGAUAGUCCCGUACACCAAAAUGCACAGGCUGUGAACUCGAAGAGUAGGGCGGGACACGUGGUAUCCUGUCUGAAUAUGGGGGGACCAUCCUCCAAGGCUAAAUACUCCUGACUGACCGAUAGUGAACCAGUACCGUGAGGGAAAGGCGAAAAGAACCCCGGCGAGGGGAGUGAAAAAGAACCUGAAACCGUGUACGUACAAGCAGUGGGAGCACCUUUAUGGUGUGACUGCGUACCUUUUGUAUAAUGGGUCAGCGACUUAUAUUCUGUAGCAAGGUUAACCGUAUAGGGGAGCCGCAGGGAAACCGAGUCUUAACUGGGCGUUAAGUUGCAGGGUAUAGACCCGAAACCCGGUGAUCUAGCCAUGGGCAGGUUGAAGGUUGGGUAACACUAACUGGAGGACCGAACCGACUAAUGUUGAAAAAUUAGCGGAUGACUUGUGGCUGGGGGUGAAAGGCCAAUCAAACCGGGAGAUAGCUGGUUCUCCCCGAAAGCUAUUUAGGUAGCGCCUCGUGAACUCAUCUUCGGGGGUAGAGCACUGUUUCGGCUAGGGGGUCAUCCCGACUUACCAACCCGAUGCAAACUACGAAUACCGAAGAAUGUUAUCACGGGAGACACACGGCGGGUGCUAACGUCCGUCGUGAAGAGGGAAACAACCCAGACCGCCAGCUAAGGUCCCAAAGUCAUGGUUAAGUGGGAAACGAUGUGGGAAGGCACAGACAGCCAGGAUGUUGGCUUAGAAGCAGCCAUCAUUUAAAGAAAGCGUAAUAGCUCACUGGUCGAGUCGGCCUGCGCGGAAGAUGUAACGGGGCUAAACCAUGCACCGAAGCUGCGGCAGCGACACUAUGUGUUGUUGGGUAGGGGAGCGUUCUGUAAGCCUGCGAAGGUGGCCUGUGAGGGUUGCUGGAGGUAUCAGAAGUGCGAAUGCUGACAUAAGUAACGAUAAAGCGGGUGAAAAGCCCGCUCGCCGGAAGACCAAGGGUUCCUGUCCAACGUUAAUCGGGGCAGGGUGAGUCGACCCCUAAGGCGAGGCCGAAAGGCGUAGUCGAUGGGAAACAGGUUAAUAUUCCUGUACUUGGUGUUACUGCGAAGGGGGGACGGAGAAGGCUAUGUUAGCCGGGCGACGGUUGUCCCGGUUUAAGCAUGUAGGCUGGUUAUCCAGGCAAAUCCGGAUAAUCAAGGCUGAGGUGUGAUGACGAGGCACUACGGUGCUGAAGUAACAAAUGCCCUGCUUCCAGGAAAAGCCUCUAAGCAUCAGGUAACAUCAAAUCGUACCCCAAACCGACACAGGUGGUCAGGUAGAGAAUACCAAGGCGCUUGAGAGAACUCGGGUGAAGGAACUAGGCAAAAUGGUGCCGUAACUUCGGGAGAAGGCACGCUGGUGUGUAGGUGAAGUCCCUGCGGAUGGAGCUGAGACCAGUCGAAGAUACCAGCUGGCUGCAACUGUUUAUUAAAAACACAGCACUGUGCAAACACGAAAGUGGACGUAUACGGUGUGACGCCUGCCCGGUGCCGGAAGGUUAAUUGAUGGGGUUAUCCGUAAGGAGAAGCUCUUGAUCGAAGCCCCGGUAAACGGCGGCCGUAACUAUAACGGUCCUAAGGUAGCGAAAUUCCUUGUCGGGUAAGUUCCGACCUGCACGAAUGGCGUAAUGAUGGCCAGGCUGUCUCCACCCGAGACUCAGUGAAAUUGAACUCGCUGUGAAGAUGCAGUGUACCCGCGGCAAGACGGAAAGACCCCGUGAACCUUUACUAUAGCUUGACACUGAACAUUGAGCCUUGAUGUGUAGGAUAGGUGGGAGGCUUUGAAGCGUGGACGCCAGUCUGCGUGGAGCCAACCUUGAAAUACCACCCUUUAAUGUUUGAUGUUCUAACGUUGGCCCCUUACCGGGGUUGCGGACAGUGUCUGGUGGGUAGUUUGACUGGGGCGGUCUCCUCCCAAAGCGUAACGGAGGAGCACGAAGGUUAGCUAAUCCUGGUCGGACAUCAGGAGGUUAGUGCAAUGGCAUAAGCUAGCUUGACUGCGAGCGUGACGGCGCGAGCAGGUGCGAAAGCAGGUCAUAGUGAUCCGGUGGUUCUGAAUGGAAGGGCCAUCGCUCAACGGAUAAAAGGUACUCCGGGGAUAACAGGCUGAUACCGCCCAAGAGUUCAUAUCGACGGCGGUGUUUGGCACCUCGAUGUCGGCUCAUCACAUCCUGGGGCUGAAGUAGGUCCCAAGGGUAUGGCUGUUCGCCAUUUAAAGUGGUACGCGAGCUGGGUUUAGAACGUCGUGAGACAGUUCGGUCCCUAUCUGCCGUGGGCGCUGGAGAAUUGAGGGGGGCUGCUCCUAGUACGAGAGGACCGGAGUGGACGCAUCACUGGUGUUCGGGUUGUCAUGCCAAUGGCACUGCCCGGUAGCUAAAUGCGGAAGAGAUAAGUGCUGAAAGCAUCUAAGCACGAAACUUGCCCCGAGAUGAGUUCUCCCUGAGACUUUAAGUCUCCUGAAGGAACGUUAAAGACGAUGACGUUGAUAGGCCGGGUGUGUAAGCGCAGCGAUGCGUUGAGCUAACCGGUACUAAUGAACCGUGAGGCUUAACCUU